rnacentral:rRNA from 1 species
UACGGGGGGAGCAAGCGUUGGUUCGGAUUUACUGGGCGUAAAGGGCGCGGUAGGCGGUCGUGACAAGUCACUUGUGAAAUCUCCGGGCUUAACUCGGAACGGUCAAGUGAUACUGUCGGACUAGAGUACAGAAGGGGGCAACUGGAAUUCUCGGUGGUAGCGGUGAAAUGCGUAGGAUAUCAAGAGGAACACCUGAGGUGAAGACGGGGUUGCUGGGCUGACACUGACGCUGGAGGCGCGAAAGCCAGGGGAGC